CCUUGAAAGAGUGCGUAAUAGCUCACUGGUCAAGUGAUCCUGCGCCGACAAUGUAGCGGGGCUCAAGUACACCACCGAAGCUGCGGCACUCACACAAUAGCCCCAUUCAGGUCUGCGGAUCUGUGUGCAGGUGUGUGGGUGGGUAGGGGAGCGUCGUGCAGCCAUGGAAGCAUCGGAGUGAUCCAGGUGUGGAGGCUGCGCGAGUGAGAAUGCAGGCAUGAGUAGCGAAAGACGAGUGAGAAACUCGUCCGCCGAAUGACCAAGGGUUCCUGGGCCAGGUUAAUCCGCCCAGGGUGAGUCGGGACCUAAGACGAGGCCGACAGGCGUAGCCGAUGGACAACGGGUUGAUAUUCCCGUACCCGUGUAACCGCGCCCAUGGUGAAUCAGUGACACUAACCACCCUGAAUCCAUAUGACCGAUCUCUUUCGAGAGUGAGGCGUGUGGUGGAUGCGUGGGACCUGAUCUGGUAGUAGCCAAGCGAUGGGGUGACGCAGGAAGGUAGCUGGGCCAGUCAGUGGUUGUACUGGUGUAAGCCUGUAGGGCGAACGGUAGGCAAAUCCGCCGUUCAUACAGCCUGAGAGGUGAUGCGUAGCCGAUUGAGGCGAAUUCAGUGAUCCUAUGCUGCCGAGAAAAGCCUCUAGUGAGUUGUUACACGGCCCGUACCCCAAACCGACACAGGUGGUCAGGUAGAGAAUACUAAGGCGAUCGAGAUAACUAUGGUUAAGGAACUCGGCAAAAUGCCCCCGUAACUUCGGGAGAAGGGGGGCCCCUGCCGGUGAUCACUCUUGCAGUGUGAGCUGGUGUGGGCCGCAGAGACCAGUGAGAAGCGACUGUUUACUAAAAACACAGGUCCGUGCGAAGUCGUAAGACGAUGUAUACGGACUGACGCCUGCCCGGUGCUGGAAGGUUAAGAGGACCGGUUAGCCAGUAAUGGCGAAGCUGAGAAUUUAAGCCCCAGUAAACGGCGGUGGUAACUAUAACCAUCCUAAGGUAGCGAAAUUCCUUGUCGGGUAAGUUCCGACCUGCACGAAUGGCGUAACGACUUCUCAGCUGUCUCAACCAUAGACUCGGCGAAAUUGCAUUACGAGUAAAGAUGCUCGUUACGCGCGGCAGGACGAAAAGACCCCGGGACCUUCACUACAGCUUGGUAUUGGUGUUCGGUUCGGUUUGUGUAGGAUAGGUGGGAGACUGUGAAGCGGUGACGCCAGUUACUGUGGAGUCGUUGUUGAAAUACCACUCUGAUCGUAUUGGAUACCUCAACCUCGGACCAUGAUCUGGUUCAGGGACAGUGCCUGGUGGGUAGUUUAACUGGGGCGGUUGCCUCCUAAAAUGUAACGGAGGCGCCCAAAGGUUCCCUCAGCCUGGUUGGCAAUCAGGUGUCGAGUGCAAGUGCACAAGGGAGCUUGACUGUGAGACUGACAAGUCGAGCAGGGACGAAAGUCGGGACUAGUGAUCCGGCAGUGGCUUGUGGAAGCGCUGUCGCUCAACGGAUAAAAGGUACCUCGGGGAUAACAGGCUGAUCUUGCCCAAGAGUCCAUAUCGACGGCAUGGUUUGGCACCUCGAUGUCGGCUCGUCGCAUCCUGGGGCUGGAGUAGGUCCCAAGGGUUGGGCUGUUCGCCCAUUAAAGCGGCACGCGAGCUGGGUUUAGAACGUCGUGAGACAGUUCGGUCCCUAUCCGCCGCGCGCGUAGGAAACUUGAGAAAGGCUGUCCCUAGUACGAGAGGACCGGGAUGGACGAACCUCUGGUGUGCCAGUUGUUCCGCCAGGAGCACGGCUGGUUAGCUACGUUCGGAAGUGAUAACCGCUGAAUGCAUCUAAGCGGGAAGCACGUUUCAAGAUGAGGUUUCCCACCCCUUUGUGGGUUAAGGCCCCCAACAGACUAUUGGGUUGAUAGGCCGGAGGUGUACAGCAGUAAUGCCUAGCCGACCGGUACUAAUAGGCCGAGGAGAUCGGAAG
rnacentral:rRNA from 1 species